UACGAAGGGGGCUAGCGUUGUUCGGAAUCACUGGGCGUAAAGCGCACGCAGGCGGAUCGAUAAGUCGGGGGUGAAAGCACGGGGCUCAACCUCGGAAUUGCCUUCGAUACUGUCGGUCUCGAGUCCGGGAGAGGUGAGUGGAAUUCCUAGUGUAGAGGUGAAAUUCGUAGAUAUUAGGAAGAACCCCAGUGGCGAAGGCGGCUCACUGGCCCGGUACUGACACUCAGGUGCGAAAGCGUGGGGAGCAAACAGG
rnacentral:rRNA from 1 species